rnacentral:lncRNA from 1 species
CGAACCCUGAGAAGACUAGUGUUAGCAUGUGGAGCCCCAGAAGAGGACAGAGCACUCUACAGGAACAGCUGGCUCUCAGCGUGUCUGAGUGACGUGAGUGAAAAGAAAAUACGCAGUACGUUAAACCGCUGGGAUGUGGUGAGGGCUAGAUACUUCAUACUUCUUAUCUUGGCUAAUACAAUGAUCUCAAAGGGUUGGGGUUAAGAGUAAAUAAAGAUAAUAUUUAAUGCA